rnacentral:rRNA from 1 species
GUAGGGUGCAAGCAUUGUCCGGAUUUAUUGGGCGUAAAGAGCUCGUAGGCGGCUUGUCACGUCGGAUGUGAAAACUCGGGGCUCAACCCCGAGCCUGCAUUCGAUACGGGCUAGCUAGAGUGUUGCAGGGGAGACUGGAAUUCCUGGUGUAGCGGUGAAAUGCGCAGAUAUCAGGAGGAACACCGGUGGCGAAGGCGGGUCUCUGGGCAACUACUGACGCUGAGGAGCGAAAGCGUGGGGAGCAAACAGGAUUAGAUACCCUGGUAGUCCACGCCGUAAACGGUGGGCGCUAGGUGUGGGGAACCUUCCACGUUCUCUGUGCCGAAGCUAACGCAUUAAGCGCCCCGCCUGGGGAGUACGGCCGCAAGGCUA